rnacentral:lncRNA from 1 species
CUCUUGUUUUCCUACAGGGCUGGGCUGAUUCUGGCUAAUUAAGCAGUAGCGGGUGUCAGCAAGGCUGUGAGACUUCCUUAUCAUCGCUGUGAAGCCAUCCCAGCAAACAUGGCCAUGAACAGAGGGGCUUUCAUCACGUCUGUAUCUGCACAUGCCCGUGCUGGGCCACCACAACACGGAAUGUUGCUUGAACAACAGCCAUCAAAACGACGUUUACUCACACCCCGGACAUCCACUAAUAUAGUUGGGUCAUUCCUACAGUUGCUGGAUUCUUCACUGGGCAGGACGGGUUGCAGUUUGAUUAUCAUCCAGCAGAUGCCAGAUUCUCUCCCCAGUGGACCGGGUCUCAAUGAGUUUCCCUUUCUUUUCAUCACUCGCUGAUGUCCAGCUGCUCCUGUCAACACCUUCUUACAGCAGGCAAUUCAUCGCUACACACUGGCAGCUGAGACCCCCGUGAUGAACUUCAAUCUGCUAUCCGCAGAGGGGGCUGCACCCCGAGUUGGGCUAAUCAAGGGAAACACCCCUUCAAGGGGGAGGGGCACACAGACAGAUUGAGCCCAAGUUACCCCCGUAAUUAUCCUCUCAUUGCCCCCGUGCCGCAAGCUGGUGCCUAUGAAUGUGGCAAACAUUUACCCGACACCCCGCGCCAUUGUUGUGCUCUCAUCCCAUCCGCACGGGAUGCAGUGCAGGUUCAUGUGUUUCAAGGAGCUUUAGUAUGACGGCAAUUUUAUUUAUAUUUUUAAAGGGCUGUGAUAUGGUGAGGCAUUUACCAUGCUCUCUGCGAUAACACACAGCAAAUGUCUCUUGCCGCAGGUUUUGAUUAUUUUCAAGUUGGUAGAAAACACCCCCUGGGGCCAGUUCUCGGGCCCUCCGAAUUUUAUUAAACCCUUUCUACAGCUGAUUACUUGCAGCGAGGUGCACAGGUUGACGCAUUUUAGGAGUGGAGUGCAGACCUGACAGGGUCAUGUUUAACAUGUCCACAGGCAAUCAAUUCACCUUAACCCCUCAUGGUACUUCAGCCUUCUCCACCUAAGCUGUCCUUAAUAACCA